rnacentral:rRNA from 1 species
AUUGAACGCUGGCGGCAGGCCUAACACAUGCAAGUCGAGCGGAUGAGAAGGGCUUGCUCUUCGAGUUAGCGGCGGACGGGUGAGUAAUGCCUAGGAAUCUGCCUGGUAGUGGGGGAAAACGUCUCGAAAGGAACGCUAAUACCGCAUACGUCCUACGGGAGAAAGCAGGGGACCUUCGGGCCUUGCGAUAUGAGAUGCGCCUGGGUCGGAUGAGAUAGUGGGUGAGGUAAUGGCUCACCAAGGCGACGAUCCGUAACUGGUCUGAGAGGAUGAUCAGUCACACUGGGACUGGGACACGGUCCAGACUCCUACGGGAGGCAGCAGUGGGGAAUAUUGGACAAUGGGCGAAAGCCUGAUCCAGCCAUGCCGCGUGUGUGAAGAAGGUCUUCGGAUUGUAAAGCACUUUAAGUUGGGAGGAAGGGCAGUAAGCGAAUACCUUGCUGUUUUGACGUUACCAACAGGAUAAGCACCGGCUAACCCUGUGCCAGCCGCCGCCGUAAAAC